rnacentral:ncRNA from 1 species
UAGAGUAGGCGUUCGCGCGUUAAGUACCGGAAAGACGGGGAGUUGCUUUCCGGGCGAAAAGGAAACUUGCGGUGCGUUCGCUGCAUCCCGCU